GCGCUGCGAGCCAUAUUUUAGCUAAAGGGCCGCGUUUGGACGUGAAGAGCUGCGUGUAGAACAUCAUGCUGGAGAGCUAGCGACCACCUGUGACGAGCACAGCAGUGGCGGCGUAAACAUCUGCCCCACGCCAGCCCAGAUAACUAUAUUUUGUCCCUGUGAUGAACUGGAACCCUGAUGUAGAUGUAUCCUUACUCUCACCCACUGACAGCUGGAUCUGGAAAAAAGACCACACAAGGGGCCAGACGUACUUCCCUUCGUCUCUAGAGGAUCAUAGACAUGUCAAACCAGCCAAAAGUAAAGAGGAAGAGGACCAGAAUUAAAGCGUGACUUGUCCUUGGUAAAACUCAUGGAGACCAGGUGGAGCCUUCCAGCCGCCGCGACGCAGACAGAGACCAACAGGCUGACGGACAGACGCAGAUCUAGACCGGAACUCAGACCACAGCUGAGAUGACUGUGCUGGUUUGGCCGGAGUGGCAGCUUCUCGAGUCCCUUCCUUCACACGUGCACUCUAACGCAGCCUGGAGCCCGAGCUAACAGCAAACCUCCAGUCCCACCUGUUUUACCUGGAAACACCCUGCCGCGCUACACAUUCUCUGUGAGCUCUCAUUGUAUCCCGUGGAACGCGUGGCGGGGUCCCGACCUUUCUGCCCCCGUGGAACAAGUGCAGCUUUAUUCUGAGGGGCGGCAGCGACUCCACCCAGGCUUUUUCCUUGAGUGGCAUCUCACAGUUGCGGCUGUUCCGGCUCUCGCCGGCCCGGCCGUCGUGACGCCUACGUCAGGCUGGAGUUGUCGGGGAGCCUUUCCACAUUUCCACAUUAGCGCCGCGUGCUUAUGAAAACAGAGCCCUCUCAUAGGAGCCUGUGCAACAAGCGGGGGACAUUUGUGUUUAUGCCCUUUGUCCGGUGUCUGUUCGGCUUUAACGCCAAUGAUACAAAUUCCAAACUGGCCUGUAAAUCUCUUCGCGUGUGCCUCCAAGUCUGACUGGUGUGUGUGGCUUCUAAAGUAAAUGUGCACAGCAAUUGAUAUGACAUUCACAGAAGAACAAAAUGGACAAAUAAUCUUUUUAUGCUAAAUCAAAACCAAAUCAAUUUCAUGAGCCUGACUAAAGCUUUUACUAUUUAAUUCCCAUGACUUUCUAAUGCUACAUCUCCAUUUAGGGUAAGAGUUCAUUGGAUUUAAUCCCACUAGGAGCUUCCAUUGUUGUCAUGAAUGACUGACGGUUAAGUUAACCUGUUUUGUGGUAUUGUUUGUUUAAAGGGGGCUGUAGUUGAUCCAGGGUUCACAGCCAUGUUCAAGAACAAACAAUAACACGGAACAGGUUAACUUAAUCAUCAGUCAUUGUGUGGACCAUGUUUCUGUUGCUGGUGCCGUCACAAUUUUUUUCUAGGAUUUUUUCUUUGAUCGUUCUCAUUCAUUCGAAUCUCAUAUGAGACAUAUCUGCAUUAUUUAUUUUUCUAUUUAAACAUGAAUAUUUUCGGAGGCAUCACCACCUCACUGAAGCCAAUGAAUAGAACCAACGUUGUCCUGAACAAAUACACCUUUAGAUGCCACAUGUCACACAUCAGCCAAGAAUGUGAAGUUCAGUGUGUUUGUUGUGUCCAGACUCGUGGCAGUGUGUACACAUCUGGACACAGCUUACACACACACACACACACCAUACAAAUGAAUCAAGACUAAAGAGAACUGUUUGAGUCCACACAGGUCCAUCCCACUUUUAAACCUUUUAACCUCUUUUUAAACUUAUUGUCCACAUUCUUUAUUCUUUGCUUGUUUUUUUCACAAUUGAACCUUUAUUCUUACAUAUAUUGUAUUCUUGCUACAAUAUGCCUGUUUAUUCCCAAACUAUUUAAUCUUUAAAUGUAUAGAGUUAAGUUUCCUUUACUCUGACCUUAGUUAAUACCAGGAUGAUUAAUUACUUCUACUGUGUAUUUAUACACAGAUUGCUUUGGAUUCAGGAAAAUAUGUUUGUUCACAUGUUAUUUUUACUGCAAGAAUAGAACGUGUCAGCAUUUUUGUUUGUUCAGCGCGUUUGAUAUGACACAAGUGCAUGUUGGGGCAGAACACCGCCCCCUUGUGCUGACGGAUGGUGUAGAUGCGAAGGCAAACUACACAGUACAGUAUUAAAACCAACACCACGGUUUCAAUCCCCUUUCUGCCAAAUGUAUUUAUUCUUAUCUCAUAGGAAAAUGCCCAAGUUAUUACUGAUCAUUGCGUUAUGUUUAUGUUUAAUGUAUCUUUUUAUAGUAUGGACUUAAAUAAGAUGAAAACUGAAGAUGAUUUUAUGAUUCACUCUGAAACAAUUGAUGAAAGGAAAUCCUUAAACAUUAAAACAAAAGGCAGCUGCUCAGUGUAAACCUCAAAUGUACACUAUUAAUAUCUGAGGCUCUUUGAUGUUUUCCCCUGUGAAAACUACUAAUUC